UUCAUUGGUCAAGACAUGCACAACAUAUGGUUAUUAUUGUGAACAUCUUAAAUUGCACUUUUUUUCAGUUAAUUAGGAUUCAACUGGCGUUGCAACUUGUAACCUCAAAGUCUUGAAAGCAACUUCAGAACUUGAAGUUAUGCAAUAGAGCAUAUGGACUGCUUGUGGUCCGAUGAUCAAUUUAUAACAUGGCAUGACUAUAAGUAAAAGCCAUUGUCAUUAGAAAGUGGACCAUAAGGCAGUGAUAGAGAGAAUUAACUUCUGCUAGACAAAGUUCAUUUUAGCACAAUCCGUGGGACCUAGCCAGUUGCCUGGAAUAUGAUUGGACAAUCAAGCACAAUUUCUUAAUUGUUUUCUUCUCUUAUUGGCUGGCUGGUUGGGUUCCCUUAUUGAAGGGAAACUCGAGCCUUAUUGAAAAUUAUCGAUACCGGUAGUAGGUUUUGAUGCUAAUCAGGUGGGGCUGCUAUAACGAACAUUGAAGCUUAAGAUUGGCACAUUUCUAGGUUCCGGACAAGUCAUUUUUUAUGGCUUGUCUUUCUUUAAGGACCCCAGAGAUAUUCCAGUAACAAGACCUACUAGUCUAUGGUAUAGGUCUUAAUAGUAUCCUCAAAAGGGAUGUGACGGAAUCACCUUAUAGCGGCAACAAUUAUGGCUACUGUGCAGUUUGCACUUAUCAAAUAGAUGCGGUAUGUGGAGAAAAAAGCAUCUGACAAAAAUCCACCAAGUAAAGCAAGUAGAAAGGCUGUCCCCAUGAAAUUGGUGACAAUGUUGGCAGAGCUGGAUGGAGAAAAAUGCAUGAACUUUGACAAGUACAGCACAAGGUUACUUGCAUUUGCCAGGUAUGCUAGAUUCUCUAGUACUUCCACAGCUAUGUUUUACAUAUGAAAAAAAAUCACAUAAUCAGUAUUAAAUGUAUUAAGAAAAUUUAUUUAUAUGUUUAUGUCUCUGUGCAUGUUUGUGUGUU